rnacentral:misc_RNA from 1 species
GCUCGUCUUCCAUACCAACA